rnacentral:rRNA from 1 species
UUGACCUCGGAUCAGGUAGGAAUACCCGCUGAACUUAAGCAUAUCAAUAAGCGGAGGAAAAGAAACCAACAGGGAUUGCCCUAGUAACGGCGAGUGAAGCGGCAACAGCUCAAAUUUGAAAUCUGGCCCUUGGGUCCGAAUUGUAAUUUGUAGAGGAUGAUUUUGGUGCGGUAUCUUCCGAGUUCCUUGGAACAGGACGCCUUAGAGGGUGAGAGCCCCGUACGGUUGAAUGCCUAGCCUCUGUAAAUCUCCUUCGACGAGUCGAGUAGUUUGGGAAUGCUGCUCUAAAUGGGAGGUAAAUUUCUUCUAAAGCUAAAUACUGGCCAGAGACCGAUAGCGCACAAGUAGAGUGAUCGAAAGAUGAAAAGCACUUUGAAAAGAGGGUUAAACAGUACGUGAAAUUGUUGAAAGGGAAG